CAACAGUUCUCAUAUGAUCACUGAAAUUAAACAGCGUGAAGCUUGGUCAGUACUUAGAUGGGUGACCACUUGGAAAUAUCGGGUGCUGGAUG